GGACUAGCUGAUUGCUUAACUUCCUCUCAGUUCUAACAGUUCUUAACACUCGAUUAUCUACAUGAAGAUGUGAAGGGGAGAGAUGAGCAGGCAUUCAGAAAAAGCGGAUGACACAGGCAUUCAUAGUUCGAGCAUUGUGUGUGUGUAUUUUUAUUUUUGGCCGCACCACGUGGCAUGUGGGAUCUUAACUCUCCGACCAGAGAUCAAACCCUGCAGUGGAAGCAUGGAGUCUUAAACACUGGACCAUCAGGAACGUCUCCACUGCUGGCCACACCCUCUCCGGGGUGCGGAUCCCGGGAACCCUGGCCGGACCUCAUUGGCCUGCGGCGCCGCCACUCGGUGAGACGUGCCUCAACCCGGAAGUGUGAGAGGCGAAAUCUGCCUAGCAACCGGGGAAGCCGGGCUGCGAAGCGGGCAAUUUCAGUGUGAGACGGAGCGGCGA
ensembl:lncRNA